rnacentral:rRNA from 1 species
ACGGGUGAGUAACGCGUAGGUGAUCUACCUCUGCGAUCGGGAUAACCAGCCGAAAGGUUGGCUAAUACUGGAUAGAGCGCGGUGUCUGUAAAGGGCAUCGUGGGAAAUGAGGGCGUAGCAAUACGUUCUUGCGCUGAGAUGAGCCUGCGUCUCAUUAGCUAGUUGGUAGGGUAAAGGCCUACCAAGGCAUUGAUGGGUGGCUGGUCUGAGAGGACGAUCAGCCACACUGGAACUGAAACACGGUCCAGACUCCUACGGGAGGCAGCAGUGGGGAAUCUUGCGCAAUGGACGAAAGUCUGACGCAGCGACGCCGCGUGGGUGAAGAAGGCCUUCGGGUUGUAAAGCCCUGUCGAGUGGGAAAAUGUCCCGGGUAACUAAUAAGUACUCGGGGUGAUGGUACCACUAAAGGAAGCACCGGCUAACUCCGUGCCAGCAGCCGCGGUAAUACGGAGGGUGCAAGCGUUGUUCGGAAUCAUUGGGCGUAAAGGGCAGGUAGGUGGUCUUGUAAGUCUGCUGUGAAAUCCCCGAGCUUAACUUGGGAAGUGCGGCAGAUACUGCAGGACUAGAGUGCUGGAGGGGUUCGUGG